CGAGAGUGUGUUUCGUGUUUUCAGCAGCUGCCAAGCUGUUCUCCGCAGGGCCUGCGGGUUCCGCUUCCCACAGGAAUGAACCUGCGCUCCCGGCGUUUCCCGAAUGUGUUGUCAGUGCUUGGGAUUCUGGCCCUUCUAUGGGGUACGCGUGGUGCCACGCAGUUUUCCUUGCAUUUCCCUGAUCAUGUAGACGGUUCUUCAGAUUCCUCCCUGGGGAAGGCGUGAAGCAGCCCCACCUGCCUGAGUGGCUGGGUUGGGGGCUCAGAGGCACGGUUACCGCAGCAGCAGCGCAAACCUCACACUCUUCCCUGGAGGAGACAGCCCUGCGCUGGGAAAUGGCCAACCUCUUCCCCACCCCCUGCAGCCCCACUGUCCGGCAGCUUCCCGCUACACCUCCACAUGAAAAUCCAAGGACUUCCUCGGCCUGCUCUGUCCCCAGCUACCAUCCAUCUUUUCUGUUUCGCUACACAGAAAAGCAAACAAAACGAUAGAAACUUAGCAAAAAGCCUUGCCCCAUUUCCUUCUCUCCCUUCCCCCCGUGUCCUGACUUGGUUUCUCCAUGAUCUCCAAGCAGCCCGUGCUCGCUGAGUCUCCCCAACCCCGGUGUGCUGUCCGUAUCCCCGGCCAACCUGUGGGACACUCAAGGCUGGCAUUGGCCCAUGACCUGACACAGCCUUUGCUCUGUGCCACCACAGCAGCUACGCCAGCCUGUCCCGAGACACCACCCCCCCACCCCAAACCGAGCAGCCCCAGGCCUGCAGUCAUUGCUGACCCCUUCCUUUUCUCUGCAUCACCACCCAAAUACAUCAGCAACUUAUUGUGGCUUUCUCUGAAUUAGUCUCCUGUGGCUGCCGUGGAAAUUAUCACGAGGUGGUGUCUUCAAACAAUAGAAAUGUACUCAGUUCCAGAGUCCAUAACAGCCACGCUCCCUCUGCAGGCUCCGGAGGAGAAGCACAGUCCAUUCCGUGCUGCUGCCACAGAACACCACUUAUGAAGAACAAAUUGAUUUCGGCACAGUUCUGGGAGCUGGGACAUUCAGGGUCACCACGUUGCCACCUGUGAAGGCCUUCUGCUGCGUCCUCAUGUUGGGGAAGAUCAGAAGCUCUGGGGGUUAGGAUGUGGCUUAUCUUCUGGGGCCACCACUGAGUCCACUGCUGCUACAGAGAGCAUCUCAAGUCUGUCCACUUCUCCACCCUGACCGCCCCCACCACAGUUCUCCUCUCCUGCAACUCCUGGCGCUGGCCUCUCCUGCGUCUGUUUCUGCACAGCCUGAGCGAUUUUCAAAAACAACACCUCAGACCCAUGCUCCUGCCCACAGCCGCCAGCGCCUUCUGUCUCCAUGCAAAGCUGGACCCUGCUGGCGCCUGCAUCCCCAUGGUGUCACUGCCUUGGGGGCUCACAGGGACCCACACUGGCAUGUUCAUGGUGCGCCCGCUGCCAAGGCCGCCUCACGCCAGCACUCCUUCGUCUCCUUACACACCACAGCCUGGAAGGGUCCUCCCUCUCUGCAUCCGCCCAUGUCUCCCCUUGUGAAAUUAAAGCACAGAAUUUCUCGUUUUGAGGAAAACCUUUAUCCUAUUUUAAAACAAUCUCAUCAUCCCUGCCCUAGUUCUCUCUUCCACUCACAGUAGCGUUCCACGUUCCCUGUCUCUGGGCAUCCUACAACCCUUAGGGCUGUCUCCUAUCCCGCUCCCCGGUGGAGCAGGCAAAACUGAUUUUUUUCUGGUUAAAAUCUCCAAAGUUGUUAAAAACAAAACAAAACUAAGCAAAGAAUCUUAGAAGUGUCACCUUUAGAAGUAAGAGAGGACUUGUUAUGGUUUCUACUUAGGGAUCAACUGUUACCUCGUUAAAGGACGAAAGGUUGAGUUUUUUGGCGAUGAACUUCUUCAGAUGCAAGACGGUCGCCUGGGCUGAGCAGCGGAUCCACUUCCGCUUCAGCCCCCGCAGUUUGCUGCUGUUACACUCCAGGCAGAUGCUCACCUGCGGGAAAGGACGCUGGUGAGAGCGCAGCAGGAGGGUUCCCCCGGACGGUUCUGGAGGCUUCCUUAGACAUAUUUCACUAAUUCCUCAAUCUAGGACUGCUGACCUUUUUGAGAUCACACAUCUGCUUUGACUUCAACACUGCAGAAAAAGAAUCUUACAUACCUUAUCUGAAAACCUGUUUAUCGUCUGCUUGCCAUUUUGUGAACUAUAACCUCGCCCUGUUAAUUCUGUGUGUUAUUAACAUAAUAGUUGAGAGUUAAUCCCAGAGUGAUUUAUCCAUCGCAGGCACUGGGUUCUUGGUCUCCAGCUAAGCCUGUCCGGACAAACAUGGCGCAAAGGGGAGUGGGCGGCCCCGUGUCUGCGAAUGCACUCGGGGAGACAGCAGCGACUGCAGGAAGACAGCAGGGAGAAGCCUUGAGCAGGGCCACAGGCGGAAGGUCACAGCUGCCUUCCAGGUGACCAGCAGUUUGGCGGGGGACCCGCAGGAUAAAAAGUGACUGAAGGGGACUGUGGAGUCCCAGCAGCCACGGGCUCCCUGCCGGUGCGAAAAGGAAUCUGCCCAGGACGAGGCUUCACCCAAGGGCCCGGCCGGCUUGGCCCCCAAGAUGUGCCUGACAAGGAAGGGCGACGCUCACGGCAAACGCUUCUACAGGUGGAGCCGCAACAAACGGCACAGUUAGGGCCUAAAAAUGCAGUGGAAGGAUGGACAGGGGGUUAACUGAAAUAUGUAUGUCUAAAAUUACAAAAGAUACAAAAGGGAGGACACGAGGGGUACAGACGGGCAAGUAUUGAAGGUAAUCAGAUACAAUUUCUAAAAAUAAAAACACUCACGGAAA